UUUUCAAAACAAUUUUUCUAAACAAUUCACAAACACUUUUUUUUUAGACAAAAAUAAUAUAAGUGAUCGAGCAAUUAAGAGCCCAUGGAUAACCAUGGAUACAAAGGGUGCUAACACCUUCCCUUUGUAUAAUGUACCUCCCGAACCCAAAAUCUAAAUUAAGGUUUUUCCUGUUCUUUUCCACCUUUCCUUAUUGGAUAAAAAAAGUCGGUGGCGACUCUU
rnacentral:lncRNA from 1 species